UACGUAGGGUCCGAGCGUUGUCCGGAAUUACUGGGCGUAAAGGGCGCGUAGGCGGCCUGCUAAGUCGGACGUGAAAUCCCUCGGCUCAACCGGGGAACUGCGUCCGAUACUGGCGAGGCUUGAAUCCGGGAGAGGGAUGUGGAAUUCCAGGUGUAGCGGUGAAAUGCGUAGAUAUCUGGAGGAACACCAGUGGCAAAGGCGGCAUCCUGGACCGGUAUUGACGCUGAGGCGCGAAAGCUAGGGUAGCAAACGGG
rnacentral:rRNA from 1 species